rnacentral:rRNA from 1 species
UACGGUAGGGGGCAAGCGUUGUCCGGAAUCAUUGGGCGUAAAGCGCGUGUAGGCGGUCCGGUAAGUCCGCUGUGAAAGUCGGGGGGCUCAACCCUCGGAUGCCGGUGGAUACUGUCGGGCUUGAGUACGGAAGAGGCGAGUGGAAUUCCUGGUGUAGCGGUGAAAUGCGCAGAUAUCAGGAGGAACACCAAUUGCGAAGGCAGCUCGCUGGGACGUUACUGACGCUGAGACGCGAAAGCGUGGGGAGCAAACAGG